GACGUAGGUGGCGAACGUUAUCCGGAAUUAUUGGGCGUAAAGGAUGCGUAGAUGGUGUAGUAAGUUAUCGGUGGCAAAUCGAGGCUCAACCUCGUGGAAGUCGGUAAUACUGCUAUGCUAGAGGAUAGGAGAGGUUAACGGAACUCCCUGUGGAGCGGUGAAAUGCGUAGAUAUAGGGAAGAACACCAAUAAGGCUGAAGGCAGUUUAACUAUUUCUAAUUCCUGACAUUGAGGCAUGGAAAGCG
rnacentral:rRNA from 1 species